GCCUACUGAACCAUUGCAUAUUGUUUUUACAGCGCAUGUCGUCGGUGCACUGCCCCGUGUCAAGGGAAAUACGGUGGUCAUCGUGGGAGUGACUGCUGACCUUUCAAAUAGCCUCGACGCAUCGCCCCGUAUCAUAUCAGGGCACGGCUGUGAUCAUCGUGGUCGUGUUUUUGUUGUGCCCCGCUGUGAGCGCCACCUGGAUAGCUGUUCAGCUCGGAGCAUCUCCGGGUGUACUGAACCACACUUUGGCAGCAGCAGCGGAUCUGCGCACAGCCUACUGAACCAUUGCAUAUUGUUUUUACAGGUACUAAAGUUCUUCACUGCUGUUGCUGUGGGUUCUUGACGGAACGUCCCAGCUGCUUUGGAGGUUGACAUCGCUUUUCAUCGCUGCGUGUGCUUUUUUCAACGCGCAGCGCAUGUCGUCGGUGCACUGCCCCGUGUCAAGGGAAAUACGGUGGUCAUCGUGGGAGUGACUGCUGACCUUUCAAAUAGCCUCGACGCAUCGCCCCGUAUCAUAUCAGGGCACGGCUGUGAUCAUCGUGGUCGUGUUUUUGUUGUGCCCCGCUGUGAGCGCCACCUGGAUAGCUGUUCAGCUCGGAGCAUCUCCGGGUGUACUGAACCACACUUUGGCAGCAGCAGCGGAUCUGCGCACAGCCUACUGAACCAUUGCAUAUUGUUUUUACAGGUCAGUACUAUCGUUGUUUCUUUCCUUAGUGUUCUGUUGCUUUCUGCUGCUGCUGCUGCUGCUGCCAUAGUGUUUUUAGUGUUUUUUGAUGUCGCCAGCCGAAAUGGAAAAACAUUUUAAAGAGUUGAAACAAGAGUUUCGCGAAAUGCGGACUGCCCUGGAGAGAGAGCUGCGUAAGGAAAUACGUGAUGUGAAAACAAGUCUAGACUUUUUUAAUAAGCAGUUUGAAGAAAUUUCGGCUCUGUGCUCGCGGCUUGAAAAAGAAAACGGUGAGCUAAAGGCUCAAAAUGAUGUUCUGAAGACUGAUUGCAGUCAGCUGAAGCAGGUCGUUCUCAACAAUGAACGUAGGACUACCGCCCUAGAACAGUACUCGCGAAACCGAAAUAUUGAAGUGAAAAAUGUUCCUUUCGUGGAGGGUGAACGGUUGACCAGGGUCGUUCAGAAGAUUGGUGAAGCUGUCGGCGAAUCAGUGAAAGAAGAUGACAUAGAAAUUU